CCUACGGGAGGCAGCAGUAGGGAAUAUUGCACAAUGGGGGAAACCCUGAUGCAGCAACGCCGCGUGAGUGAUGACGGCCUUCGGGUUGUAAAGCCCUGUCUUUAGGGACGAUAAUGACGGUAUCUGAGGAAGAAGCAACGGCUAACUACGUGCCAGCAGCCGCGGUAAUACGUAGGGUGCAAGCGUUGUCCGGAUUUACUGGGCGUAAAGGGCGCGUAGGCGGGCUUGUAAGUGAGAUGUGAAAUACUCGGGCUCAACUUUAGGGCUGCAUUUGAAACUGGUAGUCUAGAGUGCAGGAGAGGAGGAUGGAAUUCUUGGUGUAGCGGUGAAAUGCGUAGAGAUUAGGAAGAACACUCGUGGCGAAGGCGAUUCUCUGGAAUGUAACUGACGCUGAGGCUCGAAAGCGUGGGGAGCAAACAGGAUUAGAUACCCUUGUAGUC
rnacentral:rRNA from 1 species